GAUGAACGCUAGCGGGAGGCUUAAUACAUGCAAGUCGAGCGGCAAGUUUUGAUAGCAAUAUUGGAACCUAGAGCGGCGCACGGGUGAGUAACGCGUACAUAACCUACCCUAUACUGGGGGAUAGCCUUGGGAAACUGAGAUUAAUACCCCAUGGUAUUAUUUGGCCACCUGGUUGAAUAAUUAAAGUUGCGGCGGUAUAGGAUGGGUGUGCGUCUGAUUAGCUAGUUGGUAGGGUAACGGCCUACCAAGGCGAUGAUCAGUAGGGGGCGUGAGAGCGUGGUCCCCCACACGGGUACUGAGACACGGACCCGACUCCUACGGGAGGCAGCAGUAAGGAAUAUUGGUCAAUGGAGGAAACUCUGAACCAGCUAUCCCGCGUGAAGGAUGAAGGGGCUCUGCCUUGUAAACUUCUUUUGUCUGGGGCGAAAAGACUCGUUUACGAGUAACUGACGGUACCAGAAGAAUAAGCACCGGCUAACUCCGUGCCAGCAGCCGCGGUAAAUGAGA
rnacentral:rRNA from 1 species